GGAUCUGAGGGCAGUCUGGCUGCGACAUCUGUCACCCCGUCGAUCGCCAGGAUUAAUACGGCUGAUCUGGCUGGCUAGGCGGGUGUCCCCUUCCUCCCCCACCGCUCCAUGUGCAUCCCUCCCAAAGCUGCGCUCAGACUAAGAGGAUGACCUUCCCCAAAUAGAGGAGGACCCAUCUUUGGUCAAGGGUAUACCAGUAGCUGUGUUUCCCUGCUAGAACCUCCAAACAAGUUCUCCAAUAUAUUCCUAAUUGCUUGCUGAAUCUUUGAUUUUCUGAGAUAAGGUCUUGUUAUGUAGCCCAGGCUAGCUUCAGACUCAACAUUCUCAUUCCUCAGUCUCCUGAAUGCUGGG
rnacentral:snRNA from 1 species